rnacentral:rRNA from 1 species
AUUGAACGCUGGCGGCAGGCCUAACACUUGCAAGUCGAACGGUAACAGGAAGCAGCUUGCUGCUUCGCUGACGAGUGGCGGACGGGUGAGUAAUGUCUGGGAAGCUGCCUGAUGGAGGGGGAUAACUACUGGAAACGGUAGCUAAUACCGCAUAAUGUCGCAAGACCAAAGAGGGGGACCUUCGGGCCUCUUGCCAUCGGAUGUGCCCAGAUGGGAUUAGCUUGUUGGUGGGGUAACGGCUCACCAAGGCGACGAUCCCUAGCUGGUCUGAGAGGAUGACCAGCCACACUGGAACUGAGACACGGUCCAGACUCCUACGGGAGGCAGCAGUGGGGAAUAUUGCACAAUGGGCGCAAGCCUGAUGCAGCCAUGCCGCGUGUAUGAAGAAGGCCUUCGGGUUGUAAAGUACCUUCAGCGGGGAGGAAGGGAGUAAAGUUAAUACCUUUGCUCAUUGACGUUACCCGCAGAAGAAGCACCGGCUAACUCCGUG